GGUACCUUAGCUCAGAUGGUAGAGCAAUGGANNAUGGACUGAAAAUCCAUGUGUCCCUGGUUCGAUCCCUGGAGGUACCACGA
rnacentral:tRNA from 1 species